rnacentral:rRNA from 1 species
GCCAGACUCCUACGGGAGGCAGCAGUGGGGAAUAUUGGGCAAUGGGCGCAAGCCUGACCCAGCAACGCCGCGUGAAGGAAGAAGGCUUUCGGGUUGUAAACUUCUUUUAAGAGGGAAGAGCAGAAGACGGUACCUCUUGAAUAAGCCACGGCUAACUACGUGCCAGCAGCCGCGGUAAUACGUAUGGUGCAAGCGUUAUCCGGAUUUACUGGGUGUAAAGGGAGCGCAGGCGGCACGGCAAGCCUGAUGUGAAAGCCCGCGGCCCAACCGCGGGACUGCAUUGGGAACUACCGGGCUGGAGUGCCGGAGAGGUAAGCGGAAUUCCUAGUGUAGCGGUGAAAUGCGUAGAUAUUAGGAGGAACACCAGUGGCGAAGGCGGCUUACUGGACGGCAACUGACGCUGAGGCUCGAAAGCGUGGGGAGCAAACAGGAUUAGAUACCCCAGUAA